rnacentral:sRNA from 1 species
GCUGGGCAUGGCGGUGCACUCCUAUAAUCCCUGUAACUAGGAGGCUGAGGCAGGAGGAUUACAAGUUUGAGGCCAGGCUCAGCAAGUUAGUAAGACCCUGUGUCUA